GGAAGCUGCUGACUGUAGCAUGACAGGGAGGUGACUACUCUGUUUGGCCUGGUCACACUCUAUUUAAGAAAUUUGGACAUGUGCGUUGCGGGCGAGAAGAAAAACAGGCACGCAGACAGCUCUGACAAGCAAUUACAUCGCAGCUUGUUUGGGAGGCAGGUUGGGAUGAGCUGUGGUCGGCUGGCGGGGCAGAAGAUUGAAUACUCCAGAGACGGAGAGGGAAAUGGCCAGAGGGAGAACACAGGUGAGACAUUCACAGGCACGCUUUCAUUUUUUGUAUUCUAAUGCUUGUGUUGUUGAUUGAGCAUGUCUGGAGUGAUUGCUGCACAAUUGAUUCGCUGCACAUCUGGCGAAUAAACCACCUGCCUAACA